UACAGAGACUGCGAGCGUUAUUCGGAUUCACUGGGCGUAAAGGGUGCGUAGGUGGUCGGGUAAGUCUGAUGUGAAAGCUCUGGGCUCAACCCAGAAAUGGCAUUGGAUACUAUCUGGCUAGAGGAAUGGAGGGGGGACUGGAAUACUUGGUGUAGCAGUGAAAUGCGUAGAUAUCAAGUGGAACACCAGUGGCGAAGGCGAGUCCCUGGACAUUUCCUGACACUGAGGCACGAAAGCUAGGGGAGCAAACAGG
rnacentral:rRNA from 1 species